rnacentral:rRNA from 1 species
UACGUAGGGUGCGAGCGUUAAUCGGAAUUACUGGGCGUAAAGCGUGCGCAGGCGGUUUUGUAAGUCAGAUGUGAAAUCCCCGGGCUUAACCUGGGAACUGCGUUUGAAACUACAAGGCUAGAGUGUGGCAGAGGGGGGUGGAAUUCCACGUGUAGCAGUGAAAUGCGUAGAGAUGUGGAGGAACACCGAUGGCGAAGGCAGCCCCCUGGGUCAACACUGACGCUCAGGCACGAAAGCGUGGGGAGCAAACAGG